ensembl:snoRNA
AGCACUUGUGUGUGUUUUUGUUUAACUGUGGACAAAGACUUGUAGACAAGUGCAAAAAUUAAAUCCUCUUUUGCAACCCAGAACUCUUUGUUCAGUAUGAGUUUUGAUACAUAUAAGCAGGAAUACU